CAGAUGAAGUCAUGCUGGCCGGAUGCUCCAGCAGGAAAAUGGAUGGCGUGCAUGGGGGGGUGGGGAGGUUGGACACGUUCAGCAUUACCGCAUGGAAAAGGAGGGGAAAGAUGCUCAAUUUUCAGCAAUUCUGCACACGAACACCACAGCUGCUGUUGCCCAUGAUAGCAUUUGAAGGGCCGAGCCAUAUCACGCGAGGAGAAUGUGGGCUCACAGAUCAGUGCAGCAGAGUCUCAGCAGCGUGACUUCAAGAGCAGGCCGGGGUGUGAUCUUGGAGCAACGUAUUCAAAUGGAAAUGAAUAAUCACUAGCGUAACAGAAGUCAUUAAUCCCCUAGAGAACUGCACAGUUCAGAUUUAUAUUGAACACCCUCUACAUCAUUCUUCACCAUCUGAAAUGAGUCUCAGUGAAACACAGUGAAAAUAAAUGAUUAACGACAAUGCUAAUUAUCUGUAUGGCAGCAAAUCAGCGAC
rnacentral:lncRNA from 1 species